rnacentral:rRNA from 1 species
CCUCCGGGAGGCAGCAGUGGGGAAUAUUGCACAAUGGAGGAAACCCUGAUGCAGCGACGCCGCGUGAGUGAAGAAGUAUUUAUGUAUGUAAAGCUCUAUCAACAGGGGAGAAAAUGACGGUACCUGUUUCCGCAGCCACGUCUAAAUACGUGACAGCAGCCGCGGUACUACGUCGGGGGCCAGCGUUAUCCGGAUUUACUGGGUGUAAAGGGAGCGUAGACGGUGUUGCAAGUCAGAAGUGAAAGCCCGGGGCUCAACGCCGGGAUUGCUUUUGAAACUGUGUGACUGGAGUGCAGGAGAGGUGAGCGGAAUUCGUGGUGUAGCGGUGAAAUGCUGAGAUAUCAGGAGGAACACC